rnacentral:rRNA from 1 species
UGCGGUUACACAAAAAUUAAAUUAAUUUUUUUUAGGGUUUAAUAAAUAAAAGUUAAAUUAAUAAUUUAAAUUUUAAAUUAUAAGGUGAAAUUUUAAUUUAAUUAAAAUUUAUUUAUUUUUAUGACAUUAAUAAAUUUUAUAAAAAACUAGGAUUAGAUACCCUAUUAUAAAAAUUUAAAUUUAAUAAUCUUAAAAUAGUAUAUAAUUUUUUAUAAAAACUUAAAUAAUUUGGCGGUAUUUUAGUUCAUUUAGAGGAAUCUGUCUAAUAAUUGAUAAUCCACGAUUAAAUUUACUUAAUUUUUAAUUUUGUAUAUCGUUGUUAAAAAAAUAUUUUUAAAUAAUUCAUAAUAUUUUAAAAUUUAAAUAAAAAAUUAAAUCAGAUCAAGAUGCAGAUUAUAAUUAAGAAUAUGAUGGAUUACAAUAAAAUUUAUUUUGUUUGGAUAUUAAUUUGAAAUAAAUUAAUUGAAAUUGGAUUUAAAUGUAAUUUUAUUAAUUUUAAUAAAAUGAUUUUAAAUUAAAAUAUGUACAUAUUGCCCGUCGCUUUCAUUUAUAAAUUGAAAUAAGUCGUAACAAAGUAGAGGUACUGGAAAGUGUUUCUAGAAAGAU